GGGGGCAGCCCACCUAGGGGCCUCUGGCAUCCCCUUCCACCCCCAUCCUUCCCACCCACUUGCACAGAAAUACACACACAGGUCUGGAAACAGAAGCAGCUCCUUCUCAGGCAUCCAGCAAAUAGCCUGCGCCUCUGCCUCCACGGUCCCGCUUCCAAACCACUGCGGGGCACAGAGGUGAGCCCAGGACCAAGCCAGGUGACUAAGCGCAGACAUGGGUCAGAGCCAGGGCCAUCUGAGCAGCUGCUGAGUAAGAGGGCUGUGACCUCAUCUCUGGGAAACCGGGACCGGGGCCAGCCUGACAAAGACAAUGAGCGAACCGCCCAGGGGACCGUGAGGAGGUCAUGGUCAGCCCAUCAAAAAGCCAAGCGGCCCCCAGUAAGACCCAGAGCAGCACAAAGAGAUGCCGGCCCGGCGGGGUCCCCACCAUCUGGGCCCAGGUCGGAGGCUCUUCUCCUGACCCAGGCGCCUGGGCUUCUGGUGGCUUUUCCUGCCGCAGGAACCGCCAGCCCUCCACACCACCUGGUCCUUGGGUUUUCCAUCCUUGGCCGUUUGCUUCUAUUGCAUGACCUCUUUGUCAACACUGAUAGCAGCUCAUUAGAGCUGAAGCCCAGACUCCAGUUCACUUCCGUUCACCUCAUUAUUUAUUUCUUUUUUGGGCCAAAGCCAAGCAACAAACAUUCACAUUCUCCCUGCAGGGCAGGCGCACAGACCCAGGCGACAUGCUCACAGGCGCACGCUCACAUGCGCACUCGCAUGCACACUCACACUCUGCACCCACAGGUGUACACAUGCACACACGUAUGCACACGUGUACUCACUUCUACACACACUCACACAUAUGCACCCACACGUGUGCACACCCACACCCACACAUGUGUAAUCACUUCUAUACACAGAUAUGCAUCCGCACGUGUGCACACGCACUCACCCACCCCCACACACAUGCACACUGUGUUUGCACUUCCAUACACACUCACACUCUACAUGUGUGCACGCACACACUCAGCCAUACAUAAAUUCAGACACACACCUCAACCCUGGGACAGGAAGAUGAACAUGGCUGCUGGCCCAGUUGAGCGGCCAGGACAAGCA
rnacentral:lncRNA from 1 species